AGCGUACCGUUCAGCCCCUUUUACCAUGAGUCGACUCAUGGGGUUGACUCAAAUAUAUAAACAUGAUUUUCUUUCAAAAUACAUAUUCAAAAAUAUUAAAAUUAUUUUCAAUAGAUUACAAAUCUUGUGUUCUUGCUCUUGAGGCUUCCAAAUCAGAACUUGGUAAAAUUAUGAUUUUACCCCUGAAAUACAAUAAAUCUUUUCCAAGCCAAAAUCAUUAGUAACCCUCUCAAAUGCUUUGGAAUCAUCAAAAUCAAUUCAAGGAGCAAUACCUCUCUUCUCUCUCUCCAUUCAGCCUAAACUAGUAUUUUCUCUCUCUAGAAUUGAACUUUCUCUCUCUACUUUCUCUCUCUAAAAUUCUCUCUCUAGAUUAUUUCUCUCUCCUAAUAUUUUUAAAAUUUUAAGAAUAAUGAUGAUGAAUUGAAAUUAAUCCUUGAGAUAAAUUUUUGAUCUGUAAUCAUCGGACGGUACACUGACAUCCAUUUUGAUCAGACCUAAUAUUUUUUAAGAUUCUAUUUCUUAUGAUUUUUUUGAAUUAUCCACAUAAUAAUUUCAGCAUGAUUUGAUCUGAUCGAUCGAAUUUAUUGAAUCAUAUCAUCUGAGGAAUCCAAGAUGAAUUUCUCUCCCUAAAAUUUUCUCUCUCUAAAACUUUUUCUCUCUCUGAUUGAUUUCAUUUUCUAAAAAGAUUAGUCAAUGAAGGAAUUUCUUUUAAUAUUUUUGAUCUGAUGAAGAAUCUUGAUCCAUGAUUAUCGAGCAGUGUAUUGGUACUCACCUUGAUCAGACCCAAUAUUUCUCAAUUUGAUUAUCCAUGAUCCUGAUUUAACCAUGACUUGGAUUAGAUCAUUUUGAUCACACUAAUCGAGAUGUUCGACUCUGACAACUGAUUAAUUUGGAUUGUAUCUCAUGAAUUCUCUCUCCUCUGAUUUUCUCUCUUCAUUUGAUUUAUGAACCCAAUGAAGGAACAUCGAUCUUAUCACUUCGAAUUCGAUUUGAUCUGAUAGUCAAAUUUUAGAUCAUUUAUGUCCUAAUUAGAUUUUGAUCAAAUAAAAUUAGAUGAUCGGAUCAAUCUGGACGAUAAGAUAUGGGUGUCCAUCAAUUUUAUUUUUUUAAUUAUUUUGAUCUUUUCUAAUUAUUGAAAUUAAUCCUGU
rnacentral:lncRNA from 1 species